ACAGCUCAAAUUUGAAAUCUGGCUCUUUUAGAGUCCGAGUUGUAAUUUGCAGAGGGCGCUUUGGCUUUGGCAGCGGUCCAAGUUCCUUGGAACAGGACGUCACAGAGGGUGAGAAUCCCGUACGUGGUCGCUGGCUAUUGCCGUGUAAAGCCCCUUCGACGAGUCGAGUUGUUUGGGAAUGCAGCUCUAAAUGGGAGGUACAUUUCUUCUAAAGCUAAAUAUUGGCCAGAGACCGAUAGCGCACAAGUAGAGUGAUCGAAAGAUGAAAAGCACUUUGGAAAGAGAGUCAAACAGCACGUGAAAUUGUUGAAAGGGAAGCGCUUGCAGCCAGACUUGCUUACAGUUGCUCAUCCGGGUUUCUACCCGGUGCACUCUUCUGUAGGCAGGCCAGCAUCAGUUUGGGCGGUAGGAUAAAGGUCUCUGUCACGUACCUCCUUUCGGGGAGGCCUUAUAGGGGAGACGACAUACUACCAGCCUGGACUGAGGUCCGCGCAUCUGCUAGGAUGCUGGCGUAAUGGCUGUAAGCGGCCCGUCUUGAAACACGGACCAAGGAGUCUAACAUCUAUGCGAGUGUUUGGGUGUCAAGCCCGAGCGCGUAAUGAAAGUGAACGGAGGUGGGAACCCGCAAGGGUGCACCAUCGACCGAUCCUGAUGUCUUCGGAAGGAUUUGAGUAAGAGCAUGGCUGUUGGGACCCGAAAGAUGGUGAACUAUGCUUGAAUAGGGUGAAGCCAGAGGAAACUCUGGUGGAGGCUCGCAGCGGUUCUGACGUGCAAAUCGAUCGUCAAAUUUGGGCAUAGGGGCGAAAGACUAAUCGA
rnacentral:rRNA from 1 species